UACGGGGGGAGCAAGCGUUGUUCGGAUUUACUGGGCGUAAAGGGCGCGUAGGCGGCCUCUGCAAGUCGACUGUGAAAUCUCCGGGCUUAACCCGGAAAGGUCAGCCGAUACUGCAGGGCUAGAGUGCAGAAGGGGCAACUGGAAUUCUCGGUGUAGCGGUGAAAUGCGUAGAUAUCGAGAGGAACACCUGCGGCGAAGGCAGCCCCCUGGGCUAACACUGACGCUCAGGCACGAAAGCGUGGGGAGCAAACAGG
rnacentral:rRNA from 1 species